rnacentral:rRNA from 1 species
CUACGAGUUUGAUCCUGGCUCAGAUUGAACGCUGGCGGCAUGCCUUACACAUGCAAGUCGAACGGCAGCACGGGAGCAAUCCUGGUGGCGAGUGGCGAACGGGUGAGUAAUAUAUCGGAACGUGCCCAGUAGUGGGGGAUAGCCCGGCGAAAGCCGGAUUAAUACCGCAUGAGACCUGAGGGUGAAAGCGGGGGAUCGCAAGACCUCGCGCUAUUGGAGCGGCCGAUAUCAGAUUAGGUAGUUGGUGGGGUAAAGGCCUACCAAGCCGACGAUCUGUAGCUGGUCUGAGAGGACGACCAGCCACACUGGGACUGAGACACGGCCCAGACUCCUACGGGAGGCAGCAGUGGGGAAUUUUGGACAAUGGGCGCAAGCCUGAUCCAGCCAUGCCGCGUGCGGGAAGAAGGCCUUCGGGUUGUAAACCGCUUUUGUCAGGGAAGAAAUCUUCUGGGUUAAUACCUCGGGAGGAUGACGGUACCUGAAGAAUAAGCACCGGCUAACUACGUG